rnacentral:rRNA from 1 species
CCCUUAGAUGUUCUGGGCUGCACGCGCGCUACACUGAAGCGUUCAACGAGUAUUCACCUUGCCCGGGAGGGUUGGGUAAUCUUUUGAAAACGCUUCGUGAUGGGGAUAGAUUAUUGCAAUUAUUAAUCUUCAACGAGGAAUUCCUAGUAAGCGCGAGUCAUCAGCUCGUGCUGAUUACGUCCCUGCCCUUUGUACACACCGCCCGUCGCUCCUACCUAUUGAGUGAUCCGGUGAAUAAUUCGGACUGCAGCACUGCUUGGUCUCCAGGCUUUGCAGCGGAAAGUUUAGUGAACCUUAUCACUUAGAGGAAGGAGAAGUCGUAACA